rfam:TPA: Bos taurus chromosome 26, whole genome shotgun sequence.
UCCCUGGUGGUCCAGUGGCUAAGACUUUGCACUCUCAAAGCAGGGCACGUGGGUUCAAUCCCUGGUCAGGGAA